rnacentral:rRNA from 1 species
UACGUAGGGGGCGAGCGUUGUCCGGAUUUAUUGGGCGUAAAGAGCUCGUAGGCGGUUUGGUAAGUCAGGUGUGAAAUCUCCACGCUCAACGUGGAGGGGCCACCUGAUACUGCCAUGACUGGAGUCCGGUAGAGGAGUGUGGAAUUCCCGGUGUAGCGGUGAAAUGCGCAGAUAUCAGGAGGAACACCAAUUGCGAAGGCAGCUCGCUGGAACGUAACUGACGCUGAGACGCGAAAGCGUGGGGAGCAAACAGG